rnacentral:rRNA from 1 species
AUUGAACGCUGGCGGCAUGCCUUACACAUGCAAGUCGAACGGCAGCGGACCUUCGGGUGCCGGCGAGUGGCGAACGGGUGAGUAAUGCAUCGGAACGUACCUUUCAGUGGGGGAUAACGUAGCGAAAGUUACGCUAAUACCGCAUAUUCUGUGAGCAGGAAAGCAGGGGAUCGCAAGACCUCGCGCUGAUUGAGCGGCCGAUGUCAGAUUAGCUAGUUGGUGAGGUAAAGGCUCACCAAGGCGACGAUCUGUAGCGGGUCUGAGAGGAUGAUCCGCCACACUGGGACUGAGACACGGUCCAGACUCCUACGGGAGGCAGCAGUGGGGAAUUUUGGACAAUGGGGGCAACCCUGAUCCAGCCAUGCCGCGUGAGUGAAGAAGGCCUUCGGGUUGUAAAGCUCUUUCGGCCGGGAAGAAAUCGCACGGGCUAAUACCCUGUGUGGAUGACGGUACCGGAAUAAGAAGCACCGGCUAACAACGUGCCAGCCGCCGCGGUAA